UACGUAGGGUGCAAGCGUUAAUCGGAAUUACUGGGCGUAAAGCGUGCGCAGGCGGUCUUGCAAGACAGAUGUGAAAUCCCCGGGCUUAACCUGGGAACUGCAUUUGUGACUGCAAGGCUGGAGUGCGGCAGAGGGGGAUGGAAUUCCGCGUGUAGCAGUGAAAUGCGUAGAUAUCGGGAGGAAUACCGAUGGCGAAGGCAGGUCUCUGGGCUGACACUGACGCUCAUGCACGAAAGCGUGGGGAGCAAACAGG
rnacentral:rRNA from 1 species